UCGAGUUUUAAACUCCCUUAACCUUUGUGAACAUACCGUUGUUGCUUCGGCGGGACAGCCCCGUCCCCCUGUGCUCGGAAAAGCGCACCCGCCGAGGAACCAAAACACUGUCUUAACUCUAGGCUUUCUGAGUGGCAUAACGCAAUAAAUAA
rnacentral:misc_RNA from 1 species